GUUUCCUGUAGUUGCAGAUCAGACGUGCACAACGGUCAGGAGUAAUUCUUGACCAUUCCUCUUUACAGAACUGUUUCAGUUCAGCAAUAUUCUUGGGAUGUCUGGUGUGAAUCGCUUUCUUGAGGUCAUGCCACAGCAUCUCAAUCGGGUUGAGGUCAGGACUCUGACUGGGCCACUUCAGAAGGCGUAUUUUCUUCUGUUUAAGCCAUUCUGUUGUUGAUUUACUUCUAUGCUUUGGGUCAUUGUCUUGUUGCAACACCCAUCUUCUGUUGAGCUUCAGCUGGUAGACAGAUGGCCUUAAGUUCUCCUGCAAAAUGUCUUGAUAAACUUGGG